GAAAGAGCAACUUAUAAAUGCGGAACAGAUAUCUAAAUGUGCUCUGGGUUGGACAUGUUUUACAACUAGGAUUUUCACAAGUGAAUUUUUUCCCUGUUUUUCUUGCUCUGGCCUCUCAUGGCUAUGGGGAAGUGACUUCAAGGCGUUAUGGAUUUUGGAUGUUGCCAAGUCAAUCUACCACAGAAUGUGUGGCUUUGGAGAGCAGAAAUGACAUACCUCCAUCUAUUGUCCUGAAGAGCAGUCAGUGUUUUGAAUCUCUAUGAGGGUUGGCUUCUUC
rnacentral:lncRNA from 1 species